UACGUAGGGGGCAAGCGUUGUCCGGAUUUAUUGGGCGUAAAGCGCGCGUAGGCGGCAAGGUGUGUCGUGCGUGAAAUCUCCCGGCUUAACUGGGAGGGGCCGUGCGAAACUGCCUGGCUUGAGGUCGGAAGGGGAAAGUGGAAUUCCGGGUGUAGUGGUGGAAUACGUAGAUAUCCGGAGGAACACCAGCGGCGAAGGCGGCUUUCUGGUCCGAUACUGACGCUGAGGUGCGAAAGCGUGGGGAGCGAGUCCGG
rnacentral:rRNA from 1 species